CUGAUCUAUCCAAUCUAUUCAAAGUAAUUAUAGCUGUUGAACACAAGUUAUAUCAUUAGAUUAGCUGUAAAGUUUGCCUUUUCAAAUAUAAAUAAAAACUUAAAUUACAAAAUAGGUUUUUCAACAUUAUACAACCUUCUUGUAUUACAAAUAUUAUUAUAAACUUUCCUCUUUGCUUUGCUGAUGUGCUCAUGUGGUUUAACGUCACUGUAUGUUGAUUCUGAUCUUCUUCUCUCCUCAGCCCGUCAGGUUGAGGGCAGUACUAAGGAUCCUGCCCCUGUUGGGGUCGAAUCAAAACCAGUCGAGGAACACAAAUGAAGAUCUUUUUGAUGAAAUCUGAGAGCUAUCUGUCGCUCCGUAGACAGCCUAUGCAACUACAACUUCUAAGGCACAGAAAGAGGCUGCAUCUGAAUUGGUACUGUGGCAGGGUGGAAGAAUCACACGACAAGGAGAGCUCAAAUAAAUACCCCGGAGGGUGGAUUUAUUCACAAAUGCAGUGUGGGGAAGUGAGGGUAGGCUUGCUGAGGUGCUCUGGUGCUCUCCAAGUGAGUUCCGGUGCGUGGUGAGUCGGUGGCAGGGCUGGGUCGGUCACACACGUGUUUCUGGAAGCAAAGGAGAGGUAGCACGUUAGUUCUCAGCAUCUAUGAGAUUCGUCUCUUCCCAUUCCUCGGCCCCGCACGGCUUAUCUAGCCGUGGGCAACGAGCGACAGGUGUGGCCGAUCCAGCCGUAAUGAGCUGGUGCAGGUGAUUUGUGUCCGUCUCCAGGGCAACGCUGAUGAGUCCUCGGGACGCUCGUCACAGUACAUUAACAACUGCAUAAAUUAUUGAUUCCAUUUGAAGCAAGAAGUUUUACAUCCAGUCACAUUAUAUGGUUCUAAAUAAAUCAGACAAUGCAUUGGCAAUUUAGUGCCCCACAGUUGUGGUCUUGACCGGUCUUGAAACAAAAUCCUGAGUCCUCUUAGUCUUAGACCAAGAUAAGACUGAGUAGAAAAACCCAUGUCUUCUGCACAGCGCUGAUGAACUAGCCCAACGCUUUUGCUGCUAUUGAAGUGAUAACCACCGCAAGUCGCUUGAUGCAUUUGAAUUCGACACACGAUACGUACACCUUUAUAUGUGAACAUAAACGUGACGCUAUCUUUUUCUGUUGUGUUUUUUUUGUAUUUUGUUUUCAAUUGUAUUGUGUUGUAUUUCUUUGAAAUUGUAUUUGCAUUUUUGUUUGUUUGGUUCCUGAUAGUAACAACUAUAUAUUUUUAUAGCUUUUUAUGGUCUAAUGACCUUGGGCAAUGUGCAAUAAUUCCCUUUAAAAUUUCACAGAAAUGUGUUGAUUGCAGUGUAUCACAUGAAGGUGAUUGAUUUAUGUGCGGUGUGAUCUUCUGUUUGUGUAUUGGAGUAUUGUGUGUCUUGGGUUUUGUAUUUAAAGGGUUUAUGACCUGCCUUGCCUGUGUGCAUUACAUCAUAUUCUUUCUUUUUAAUUGGUCUUGUUGUUAAAUAAAUAUCUUAGCAGCUAUAUAUAUAUAUAUAUGUAUAUGCAAG